rnacentral:rRNA from 1 species
UACGGAGGGCGCAAGCGUUAAUCGGAAUUACUGGGCGUAAAGCGUGCGUAGGUGGCUGAUUAAGUUAUCUGUGAAAUCCCUGGGCUUAACCUGGGCAGGUCAGAUGAUACUGGUUGACUCGAGUAUGGGAGAGGGUAGUGGAAUUUCCGGUGUAGCGGUGAAAUGCGUAGAGAUCGGAAGGAACACCAGUGGCGAAGGCG